UACGUAGGGGGCAAGCGUUGCCCGGAUUUAUUGGGCGUAAAGGGCGCGUAGGCGGCCACGCACGUCCGUUGUGAAAUCGCCCGGCUCAACUGGGCGGGGUCAGCGGAUACGGCGCGGCUGGAGCAAGCUAGGGGGCAAUGGAAUUCCCGGUGUAGGUGGUGGAAUGCGUAGAUAUCGGGAGAACACCAGUGGCGAAGGCGGUUGCCUGGAG
rnacentral:rRNA from 1 species